GGUCGGAUGGUAUAGUUGGUUAUCACGUCAGUCUAACACACUGGAGAUCUCUGGUUCAAGCCCAGGUCUAAUUA